UACGUGGGGUGCAAACGUUGCUCGGAAUCACUGGGCUUAAAGCGUGUGUAGGCGGCCCAUCUUGUCGGACGUGAAAUCCCUCGGCUUAACCGAGGAAGGGCGUCCGAAACGGACGGGCUUGAAUACCGGAGAGGGCGACGGAAUUCCCGGUGUAGUGGUGAAAUACGUAGAUAUCGGGAGGAACACCGGCGGCGAAGGCGGUCGCCUGGACGGAUAUUGACGCUGAGACACGAAAGCGUGGGGAGCAAACAGG
rnacentral:rRNA from 1 species